GUAGGGAGCAAGCGUUGUCCGGAUUUACUGGGUGUAAAGGGUGCGUAGGCGGCUUUGCAAGUCAGAUGUGAAAUCUAUGGGCUCAACCCAUAAACUGCAUUUGAAACUGUAGAGCUUGAGUGAAGUAGAGGCAGGCGGAAUUCCCCGUGUAGCGGUGAAAUGCGUAGAGAUGGGGAGGAACACCAGUGGCGAAGGCGGCCUGCUGGGCUUUAACUGACGCUGAGGCACGAAAGCGUGGGUAGCAAACAGGAUUAGAUACCCUGGUAGUCCACGCUGUAAACGAUGAUUACUAGGUGUGGGGGGUCUGACCCCUUCCGUGCCGGAGUUAACACAAUAAGUAAUCCACCUGGGGAGUACGGCCGCAAGGUG
rnacentral:rRNA from 1 species